ACGGAGGGUGCAAGCGUUAAUCGGAAUUACUGGGCGUAAAGGGUGCGUAGGCGGUUUAAUAAGUCGGGUGUGAAAGCCCCAAGCUUAACUUGGGAAUUGCAUCCGAUACUGUUGAACUAGAGUGUGGUAGAGGGAAGCGGAAUUCCGGGUGUAGCGGUGAAAUGCGUAGAUAUCCGGAGGAACACCAGUGGCGAAGGCGGCUUCCUGGACCAACACUGACGCUCAAGCACGAAAGCGUGGGGAGCAAACAGG
rnacentral:rRNA from 1 species